AACAGAAAGAUAGGGUCAGGCCCUAGAGCUGACCACCUCUAUUCUCAAAGCCACUACCCCUUCAGGAAGGCCUCUACAGCUGCUGCACUCACCCUCUGAGCUACUACGGCCUACGGGAUGACUCUCCAUCUCCCAGUACCACAAAAACUCCACUUCAUCACGAGGCCAGAGAGCCUUCAAAAGGCUGCUGUCUCCUCUAAGGCUGACCUCAAUUUGCUGCAAUAGCUUGGGUGUUCCUGGAGACACUGGGGCUGCCCAUUCCCCUCUGCAUCCCAUGCCCAUCCCAGGGCCCACUUCACCCACCCUGGUUCCACACUCGCUCCUCACACGGAAACAAUGCCGCUGGGAGCAGGUAAGGAUGCUAACCUCCUUCCCCCCACUCUUCCUCCGCUCAGUUU
rnacentral:sRNA from 1 species